AACGCACCCAGCCCUCGGCUCGACCCCUUAAACCCUGUGAUCUCGAUCUGAAAAGUCUCGUUCAUCCAAGUCUGUCCAUAUGUAAUGAUGGACUAGGCACUGGUGCGUGGCAGACAUUCGAACCGCCGCGGGGAAGGUGCAGAUCAAAUCACGGGGAAUACUAACAAUGAGCAAGCAAGCAAAGAGAUAUCAAGAUUGCAAGGGAACAGGAAACCGAGGAGAUUAAAGGAUCUUUUGUUAAUUGAAUAGAAAGCAGUCACAUGCGAUAGUUACGGCACGGUUGGCGAUGCUACAUCUUGUCCAAAAAUGACCGCGAUGGCAAGAUAUGCUGGAAACAGUCCCAACCUGAUUCAGAAUUUUGCUUGGUUCAUUUUUGAACGAGGUAGCAUCAAGAACUUAAGAAUUAACUGAAUAAAUGACCAGAAAGAUUUCUGGAGGAAUUCAUAAGGCUUUGUUCCUCUGCCUCAUUCUGCAUCCAAUGGCAUUGUGUUUCCUUUCAGCUUUCCUGUGCAAGACUUGCACCCAGCUGUAACCAAUCACCCAGCUGUGCGUUGCCAAGCUUUUUUUUUCUCAAAUAUGGCUUUUUUUUCCAGCAGUAUCUUGUUCCUGCUGUACAUGUGUGUUUAAUCUGUCCUUCAUUAUACAGUGAAAACUAGAAUGAACUCAUGAUAAAAACUAGCAGAGAAUGAUGGUGUAUUUGGGAAAUAUUGAGGGAGCACUAAUACCUUUCCUCGGCAAGGCCAGCAGCAUAAUCAAGCUGAGUUGCACCCUGGCCAUUCCCUCUUUUCCCCUCUC